rnacentral:rRNA from 1 species
AGCGAACGCUGGCGGCAGGCCUAACACAUGCAAGUCGAACGAACGCUUCGGAGUUAGUGGCGGACGGGUGGGCAACACGUGGGAACGUGCCUUGUGGUUCGGAAUGACGCAGGGAAACUUGUGCUAAUACCGAAGGUGCUCUUCGGGGGAAAGAUUUAUCGCCAUUAGAGCGGCCCACGUCUGAUUAGCUAGUUGGUGAGGUAACGGCGUACCAAGGCGACGGGCAGUAGCGGGUCUGAGAGGAUGACCAGCCACACUGGAACGGAGACACGGCCCAGACUCCGACGGGAGGCAGCGGCGGGGAAUAUUGGGGGAGGGGCGAGAGGCGGAUCCAGCCAAGCCGGGGGUGGGAAGACGGUCUUCGGACUGGAAAGUACUUUAGGUUUGGGGGAAGGACAGUAAGUUCAUAGCGUGCUGUUUUGACGUUACCAACAGAAGAAGCCCCGGCUAACUUCGUG